UACGGGGGGGGCAAGCGUUGUUCGGAAUUACUGGGCGUAAAGGGCUCGUAGGCGGCCAACUAAGUCAGACGUGAAAUCCCUCGGCUUAACCGGGGAACUGCGUCUGAUACUGGAUGGCUUGAGUUUGGGAGAGGGAUGCAGAAUUCCAGGUGUAGCGGUGAAAUGCGUAGAUAUCUGGAGGAAUACCGGUGGCGAAGGCGGCAUCCUGGACCGGCAUUGACGCUGAGGAGCGAAAGCCAGGGGAGCAAACGGG
rnacentral:rRNA from 1 species